GGGCCGAUGGUGAAGCGGGAUCACACCUGCCUUGCAAGCAGGAGUCCAGGGUUCGAUUCCCUGCCGGUCCA
rnacentral:tRNA from 2 species